UGUAACAGAGCGGGUGCAUUUUUGGUACCCAUGUAACCACUGGAGAAUUCCAUCUGUAUAAAAUUGGCCUUGGAUCCUCUGGACCUUUCCAUUCUAUUGAUUCAAUGUCCUAUUGAGUUGGAGUUUAAAAGGAGAUUUCUUAAUUCUAAGAAUCUAGUAUGUCACAAUCAAAUUCUGGGCCCAUCCUGUUGAAAGAAAGACAACAGACUCCGUUCCAAGAAAUAAAGUUGAGUGUCACAAGAAGGGCGGACACUGCAAGCUUUUCUUUUGUCCUGCUUUGAGCUACAGAUACAAGGGAAAGUGUACAAAAUUCAAAUAUUGCUGCCAACCAACGUGGUUUCAUUCCAUGUACGACAAAAAUCGUGGGUGAGGAGGUGAGAGCAAGUCUGAUAAUCGGAAGCCAUCUGCUUUGGCAGAUAAACUGUGGAGAUAAAUUGGUGCCCUGUAUUUGUCAAUAUUCAAUGGAAGUCCCCAGAUUUCUCCAUUAUAGGACAGAUUAAUGAAAGGGCAUCUAAUCCCUGUUACAGCUCUCCUGGAAAACUUCAACAAUUCUGCUGUAAUACAAAUGCUGCAUUGCAGUCUUUCCACCAGCUGAAGAAUGAAAAACAAAUCUUCUGAUAU